rnacentral:rRNA from 1 species
UACGGAGGAUCCGAGCGUUAUCCGGAUUUAUUGGGUUUAAAGGGUGCGUAGGCGGCCUAUUAAGUCAGGGGUGAAAGACGGUAGCUUAACUAUCGCAGUGCCUUUGAUACUGAUAGGCUUGAAUGUACUUGAGGUAGGCGGAAUGUGACAAGUAGCGGUGAAAUGCAUAGAUAUGUCACAGGACACCAAUUGCGAAGGCAGCUUACUAAAGUAUGAUUGACGCUGAGGCACGAAAGCGUGGGGAUCAAACAGG